GCAUACGACCAUAGACUCAAGAGAACUGGGCAUCCCGUCCGCUCUGCCAUACAUAACCUGGAGAUCGGUGGAUUAGUAGUUGGGUGGGUGACCACCAGCGAAUACCCACUGUUGUAUGUU
rnacentral:rRNA from 1 species